ACUCCUGCGGGAGACAGCAGUGGGGAAUUUUGGACAAUGGGCGAAAGCCUGAUCCAGCAAUGCCGCGUGCAGGAUGAAGGCCUUCGGGUUGUAAACUGCUUUUGUACGGAACGAAAAAGCUCCUUCUAAUACAGGGGGCCCAUGACGGUACCGUAAGAAUAAGCACCGGCUAACUACGUGCCAGCAGCCGCGGUAAUACGUAGGGUGCGAGCGUUAAUCGGAAUUACUGGGCGUAAAGCGUGCGCAGGCGGUUAUGUAAGACAGAUGUGAAAUCCCCGGGCUCAACCUGGGGACUGCAUUUGUGACUGCAUGGCUAGAGUACGGUAGAGGGGGAUGGAAUUCCGCGUGUAGCAGUGAAAUGCGUAGAUAUGCGGAGGAACACCGAUGGCGAAGGCAAUCCCCUGGACCUGUACUGACGCUCAUGCACGAAAGCGUGGGGAGCAAACAGGAUUAGAAACCCCAGUAGUCCCA
rnacentral:rRNA from 1 species